rnacentral:Y_RNA from 1 species
UCGGCGAAUGCCAGUAUGACUACAUUAACCAUUUGGUCCCGGGUUCGAGUCCCGGCGGUCUACGACCGUAGCUCAGCUGGUAGAGCAGAUGACCUGUCAUACGCCCUUAUUGUCGCCGUGUU